rnacentral:lncRNA from 1 species
AAAAAAAAAAAAAAAAAAAAAAAAAAAAAAAAAAAAAAAAAAAGGAAAAGCCCAAAACAAAUGGCUGACAUGUUGUGGAGGGCAAAGGCCCAUAGGCCUGAAAUAGCACCAACCAGGUCAUCAAAAGUACGCCCAGUACUCCGCAAUUAUUCGGCAACCCGCCGUUAUUACCACCAACCAGGUGAUCAAAAGUACACCCAGUACUCCACAAUUAUUCGGCAACUCGCCGCUAUUACCACCAACCAGGUGAUCAAAAGUACGCCCAGUACUUCAAGUCAUACAUGAGCAUUACUCAUGUCAAUCAUACAUAAACAUUCAUGAGCAUCACUCAUCCAAUCAUACAU